ensembl:lncRNA
GGGUAUUCUUGACACCGACGGAAGUGUGCUGGAUGCCCCUUGGACCAAACAGCAUCCACCACAGCAGUAGGUUCCUCAUAGUAGCCAUCGAUGAAAACUGUUAUCAUCUGGAAAGACAACCUCCGGGCUGAGGGUGGAGAACACAGCAUCCUGCACAGAAGCAGCGGCUGUGACGGUUCCGCUCCGUGUCUGCCCAGUGGCACAUCUUCAUCUCUGCCUCUUCAGCUGAGCUUAGUGGCACAGCUGUCUUCAGCAGAACUGAACCCCCACAGGAGGAGAGGGCAGGGGAAUCUUCCCAACCUAGGGAUUGAACUCUGGUCUCCCAUAUUGCAGGCAGAUUCUUCACUGUCUGAGCCACCAGGGAAGCCCAGGCUGUAGGACUCCAGCUCUAACUGUGAAACAGACACAGUUCUGUGCCCUGGCAUGUGGCAAGGACUCUGAGGUCACAACCUGGUUUCAUGAUGAGGAGAUAAUGACUGCAAGUGAUGAAUGAGAUAACUAUGUUUUCCAAGGACAGCAAAGGAAAAAUGCAAAAAGAUAUCUCCUGGUAUUCUCAUCGUGGGAACUUCCCUUCAGCUAUUAAUACAAAAUGUCAGUGUAGUAGGCUAGGUGAUGGCCCUGGAGAUAUCAGGUCAAACACCCGGAACCUGUAAAUGCUGCUUUAUCUGGAUAAAGGGAC